rfam:Fukomys damarensis contig120755, whole genome shotgun sequence.
GCCGGGAGUGUGGCACAUGCCUGUAGUCCCAGCUACUCGGGAGGCUGAGGUGGGAGGAUUGCUUGAGUCCAGGAGUUCUGGGCUGCAAUGCGCUAUGCUGAUCGGGUGUCCGCACUAAGUUUGGCAUCAGUAUGGUGACCUCCCGGGAGCGGGGGACCACCAGGUUGCCUAAGGAGGGGUGAACUGGCCCAGGUCGGAAAUGGAGCAGGUCACAACUCCCAUGCUGAUCAGAGGGAAAAAAUGAUCAGUAAAAGGCGUGUACCUUUCGGCAGUGUUUCCUUCUGGUUUGGGAAGUUAGCACACCUGUC